UACAGAGGUCUCAAGCGUUGUUCGGAUUCACUGGGCGUAAAGAGCUCGUAGGUGGUUUGUCGCGUUGUUCGUGAAAACCUGAGGCUUAACCUUGGGCGUGCGGGCGAUACGGGCAGACUGGAGUACUGCAGGGGAGACUGGAAUUCCUGGUGUAGCGGUGGAAUGCGCAGAUAUCAGGAGGAACACCGGUGGCGAAGGCGGGUCUCUGGGCAGUAACUGACGCUGAGGAGCGAAAGCGUGGGGAGCGAACAGG
rnacentral:rRNA from 1 species